GAUGAACGCUAGCGGGAGGCCUAACACAUGCAAGCCGAGCGGUAUUUGUUCUUCGGAACAGAGAGAGCGGCGCACGGGUGCGGAACACGUGUGCAACCUGCCUUUAUCUGGGGGAUAGCCUUUCGAAAGGAAGAUUAAUACCCCAUAAUAUAUUGAGUGGCAUCAUUUGAUAUUGAAAACUCCGGUGGAUAGAGAUGGGCACGCGCAAGAUUAGAUAGUUGGUGAGGUAACGGCUCACCAAGUCAAUGAUCUUUAGGGGGCCUGAGAGGGUGAUCCCCCAAACUGGGACUGAGACACGGACCAGACUCCUACGGGAGGCAGCAGUGAGGAAUAUUGGACAAUGGGUUAGCGCCUGAUCCAGCCAUCCCGCGUGAAGGACGACGGCCCUAUGGGUUGUAAACUUCUUUUGUAUAGGGAUAAACCUACUCUCGUGAGAGUAGCUGAAGGUACUAUACGAAUAAGCACCGGCUAACUCCGUG
rnacentral:rRNA from 1 species